UUUGGCGCCUUCCUCUUUUCUGGUCUCGUUGGGUGCUGGUCCCCACCUCGCCCCACCUGCAGUCGGCACGCAUCCCAGGGACCCAUGUGCCACUCAGUUGAAGCGGCACAGCUGCAGGGAAAGGGCGCCCAGACUGCUCCCAUUUCAGAGGACUUCUAAAAACCUACACCCACUUGGGAGAAAGCUCUAUUGAACGCCAUGGGACUUACUUCUGAGAAGCCAUGUUUAGGAUUGUGCUGAAAGAGGCUUUAAUUGUAACUUGGAAAUUUGCUUCUUCGGCUGCUUUAAUUAAUGCACCCUUUACCAUCCCUUCAAAAGUGACACUCGCAAUAUGAAUUCCGGUUUCUCCAGCCCAACCCUCACAGCAGCCUUUGAUGUCUCGUGUAGAUUUAAUAAAGCUCUCAGUAUUGUGUACAAUUGGUUGCUGAACCAUCAAGGGAUCUGAACUUACCCAGCACCUGAUGAUAAUGAUUUUGAGAACAAAUAUUGAGGCUGUUUUGACUAGGGCCACCUUACUGAACAGAUGAAGGAAGAAUAUGACGCUGAAGAAAAAAAUCUAGAAAAGUUUACAGCAAUUUUCAACUGGUCCAUAACAGAAAAAGUCUGAGAACUGAUCUCCAAACCAACUUUCUCCUCCAUGGAGGAGAACCCAAAAGAGAAGAAAAGGUGCAGGUGUGGGAAGUGUCUUGAUGAGCACUUACACUUCAAAAUUUCUCCCUACACCACUGCCCCUGGCUCAGUAGUGCUACCCCUCUGAAAACACUGGAAGUGUAUAAUGCAAUGAUGUGGGCCUCUGACACAAGAGGAUGAGGGUUUUUGUCAUCAGUUUGGAUCACUGGCAAAAAUACAGAUUUCAGAGCUAAAAGUCCUAAUAUUUGACAUGGCAAAAACUGUUAUGUCUGGGUAAGCCAGGAAAAGCAUGUGGACCUGGGAGAAUAUGACAGCUUUGCAUAAGGUAAAGAAUUUUAGGUUCCCCAUUGCCAAGUGAGAAUAUGAGCUAUUUACAAGAUUAUGAAAUUGUCCAAGAAUGACUGUGAAAAGGAAACUUUUGUGAUUUCCUUGAACUGGACCUGACUAUAAAAAUGCUGUUUUGAGUAGAAAAGGUGCUAGUUGAGUAUGUGUAGGGUGGGGGGAGCCCAGAAUGUGGGAAAUUGAAUUUUUAAAAUGUUUUCCUCCUUUCAGCACUAGUUCUGUAGAACAAAAGACAGAACAAACUCAUAAAUAUGUAAAUAACUUUACAGAAAAAACAGCAGUAGCAGGAAUGUGGGUGAAACUGAGAAACGCAUAGCUAAUUUUGGGGGCUUGUGAGCAAACUCACGAAACCAGCUUAUUAAUUCCAUGAGCAGAUGUUAAAUGAAAGAGAGAUCUUAGAAACAACAGAAGCUAAACCAUCCAAUGCAGGAAGUCUUCUCCUGUGAAGACUUCUUCCACUUGCUUUGUUACCAGGAUUGAUCAUAAAACCUUAACAUUUUGUCCUUUCCAGGCUUAAUAGCGGUAACUGGUCAAAGCUGGACCAUUUCACAGAGGGAUUGUAGUUUAACUAAACCCACCUGCUGGG